rnacentral:lncRNA from 1 species
GACCUUCUCGCUGUUGUAGAAUCCGAAUAAUGGCCUUUCCAUAUUCGUGUCCAAGGUGUUUCAUUUUUGCUGAUGGCCAUCAACCCAACAAUGUUUCUCUUCACUGUGCUCUUAUAAAGAUUACUUGACCUAGGAACUCCUCAUAUAAUGAAAGAAAUAUAUUGGCGCUUCCUCUUAUGUCUUUCAUCUUCCCCACUACUUGCUUCAUUGCUUUU